rnacentral:rRNA from 1 species
GGAGUCAGAACAUGGGUGAUAAGGUCCGUGUUCGAAAGGGAAACAGCCCAGACCACCAGCUAAGGUCCCAAAAUAUAUGUUAAGUGGAAAAGGAUGUGGCGUUGCCCAGACAACUAGGAUGUUGGCUUAGAAGCAGCCAUCAUUUAAAGAGUGCGUAAUAGCUCACUAGUCGAGUGACACUGCGCCGAAAAUGUACCGGGGCUAAACAUAUUACCGAAGCUGUGGAUUGUCCUUUGGACAAUGGUAGGAGAGCGUUCUAAGGGCGUUGAAGCAUGAUCGUAAGGACAUGUGGAGCGCUUAGAAGUGAGAAUGCCGGUGUGAGUAGCGAAAGACGGGUGAGAAUCCCGUCCACCGAUUGACUAAGGUUUCCAGAGGAAGGCUCGUCCGCUCUGGGUUAGUCGGGUCCUAAGCUGAGGCCGACAGGCGUAGGCGAUGGAUAACAGGUUGAUAUUCCUGUACCACCUAUAAUCGUUUUAAUCGAUGGGGGGACGCAGUAGGAUAGGCGAAGCGUGCGAUUGGAUUGCACGUCUAAGCAGUAAGGCUGAGUAUUAGGCAAAUCCGGUACUCGUUAAGGCUGAGCUGUGAUGGGGAGAAGACAUUGUGUCUUCGAGUCGUUGAUUUCACACUGCCGAGAAAAGCCUCUAGAUAGAAAAUAGGUGCCCGUACCGCAAACCGACACAGGUAGUCAAGAUGAGAAUUCUAAGGUGAGCGAGCGAACUCUCGUUAAGGAACUCGGCAAAAUGACCCCGUAACUUCGGGAGAAGGGGUGCUCUUUAGGGUUAACGCCCAGAAGAGCCGCAGUGAAUAGGCCCAAGCGACUGUUUAUCAAAAACACAGGUCUCUGCUAAACCGUAAGGUGAUGUAUAGGGGCUGACGCCUGCCCGGUGCUGGAAGGUUAAGAGGAGUGGUUAGCUUCUGCGAAGCUACGAAUCGAAGCCCCAGUAAACGGCGGCCGUAACUAUAACGGUCCUAAGGUAGCGAAAUUCCUUGUCGGGUAAGUUCCGACCCGCACGAAAGGCGUAACGAUUUGGGCACUGUCUCAACGAGAGACUCGGUGAAAUCAUAGUACCUGUGAAGAUGCAGGUUACCCGCGACAGGACGGAAAGACCCCGUGGAGCUUUACUGUAGCCUGAUAUUGAAAUUCGGCACAGCUUGUACAGGAUAGGUAGGAGCCUUUGAAACGUGAGCGCUAGCUUACGUGGAGGCGCUGGUGGGAUACUACCCUAGCUGUGUUGGCUUUCUAACCCGCACCACUUAUCGUGGUGGGAGACAGUGUCAGGCGGGCAGUUUGACUGGGGCGGUCG